rnacentral:rRNA from 1 species
GUGAGGGAAAGGUGAAAAGUACCCCGGGAGGGGAGUGAAAUAGUACCUGAAACCGAUUGCCUACAAUCCGUCGGAGCCUGAAAGGGUGACGGCGUGCCUUUUGAAGAAUGAGCCUGCGAGUUAGUGGUACGUGGCGAGGUUAACCCGUGUGGGGAAGCCGUAGCGAAAGCGAGUCCGAAUAGGGCGAAUGAGUCGCUGGGUCUAGACCCGAAGCGGAGUGAUCUACCCAUGGCCAGGUUGAAGCGCGGGUAAGACCGCGUGGAGGACCGAACCCACUUAGGUUGAAAACUGAGGGGAUGAGCUGUGGGUAGGGGUGAAAGGCCAAUCAAACUCCGUGAUAGCUGGUUCUCCCCGAAAUGCAUUUAGGUGCAGCGUCACGUGUUUCUUACCGGAGGUAGAGCUACUGGAUGGCUAAAGGGCCUUACCAGGUUACUGACGUCAGCCAAACUCCGAAUGCCGGUAAGUGAGAGCGUGGCAGUGAGACUGCGGGGGAUAAGCUCCGUAGUCGAGAGGGAAACAGCCCAGACCACCAGCUAAGGCCCCUAAGCGUAUGCUAAGUGGGAAAGGAUGUGGAGUUGCACAGACAACCAGGAGGUUGGCUUAGAAGCAGCCACCCUUGAAAGAGUGCGUAAUAGCUCACUGGUCAAGUGAUUCCGCGCCGACAAUGUAGCGGGGCUCAAGCACACCACCGAAGCUGUGGCAUUGACACUUUGCCCGGCCGUACUUUGUGCGGUCCAAGCGUGUUGAUGGGUAGGGGAGCGUCGUGUGGCGAGUGAAGCGGCGGAGUGAUCCAGUCGUGGACGCCACACGAGUGAGAAUGCAGGCAUGAGUAGCGAAUGACGGGCGAGAAACCCGUCCGCCGAAUAUCCAAGGGUUCCAGGGUCAAGCUAAUCUGCCCUGGGUAAGUCGGGACCUAAGGCGAGGCCGACAGGCGUAGUCGAUGGACAACGGGUUGAUAUUCCCGUACCGGCGAAAACCGACAAAUAUCGAACCCUGUGAUGCUAAACGUUUGAAGCAUGCGCCAAUCUCUUCGGAGGGCGGGGUGUGUGGAGCGCGUGACCCGAGCAGGUAGUAGGUAAGCGAUGGAGUGACGCAGGAAGGUAGCCUCCGCGUGGCGAUGGUAGUCCACGUCUAAGGGUGUAGGGCGAGGUGUAGGUAAAUCCGCAUCUCAUAUGCCUGAGACCUGAUGGUGACCGCAAUUGCGGGAAGCAGGGUGAUCCUAUGCUGCCUAGAAAAUCUUCUAGCGAGGUUUUAGCCGCCCGUACCCCAAACCGACUCAGGUGGAUAGGUAGAGAAUACCAAGGCGAUCGAGUGAAUCAUGGUUAAGGAACUCGGCAAAAUACCCCCGUAACUUCGGGAGAAGGGGGGCCCGGAUCGUGACGGCACUUGCUGCCCGAGCGUGAACGGCCGCAGAGACCAGGGAGAAGCGACUGUUUACUAAAAACACAGGUCCGUGCGAAGUCGCAAGACGAUGUAUACGGACUGACGCCUGCCCGGUGCUGGAACGUUAAGGGGACGGGUUAGCUCUUCGGGGCGAAGCUCAGAACUUAAGCGCCAGUAAACGGCGGUGGUAACUAUAACCAUCCUAAGGUAGCGAAAUUCCUUGUCGGGUAAGUUCCGACCUGCACGAAUGGCGUAACGACUUCUCCACUGUCUCAACCACGGACCCGGCGAAAUUGCACUACGAGUAAAGAUGCUCGUUACGCGCAGCAGGACGGAAAGACCCCGGGACCUUUACUACAGCUUGGUAUUGGUGUUCGGUACGGCUUGUGUAGGAUAGGUGGGAGACUGUGAAGCGGACACGCCAGUGUUUGUGGAGUCAACGUUGAAAUACCACUCUGGUCGUUCUGGAUAUCUAACCUCGGUCCGUGAUCCGGAUCAGGGACAGUGCCUGGUGGGUAGUUUAACUGGGGCGGUUGCCUCCUAAAAAGUAACGGAGGCGCCCAAAGGUUCCCUCAGCCUGGUUGGUAAUCAGGUUUCGAGUGUAAGUGCACAAGGGAGCUUGACUGUGAGAGAGACAUCUCGAGCAGGGACGAAAGUCGGGACUAGUGAUCCGGCGGUGGCUUGUGGAAGCGCCGUCGCUCAACGGAUAAAAGGUACCCCGGGGAUAACAGGCUGAUCUUGCCCAAGAGUCCAUAUCGACGGCAUGGUUUGGCACCUCGAUGUCGGCUCGUCGCAUCCUGGGGCUGGAGUAGGUCCCAAGGGUUGGGCUGUUCGCCCAUUAAAGCGGCACGCGAGCUGGGUUUAGAACGUCGUGAGACAGUUCGGUCCCUAUCCGCUGCGUGCGUAGGAAACUUGAGAAGAGCUAUCCCUAGUACGAGAGGACCGGGAUGGACGAACCUCUGGUGUGUCAGUUGUUCUGCCAAGAGCACCGCUGAUUAGCUACGUUCGGAAGUGAUAACCGCUGAAAGCAUCUAAGCGGGAAGCACGCUUCAAGAUGAGGUUUCCAUGCCCCUUAGGGGUGAGAGGCUCCCAGCGAGACCACUGGGUUGA